AGAGAGGUGCUCGAGUGGUUGAAGAGGCUAGCCUGGAAAGUUAGUAUACGGGUAACCGUAUCGAGGGUUCGAAUCCCUUCCUCUCUG
rnacentral:tRNA from 1 species